rnacentral:lncRNA from 1 species
AAAAAAAAAAACAACAACAAUUGUAUAGGGCUUAAAAUUUAGUAGAGUGUAAAUUUCAAAUGUUGAGUAUGAAUAAAAUAUGGUAAAGUUAUCGUACAGAAAUCUAGACAAGUUCAAAAGGUUUAUCAUGUUUAUAGAGAUAAAAAAAAAGAACAUACCAAAGGACAAAUAAAAACAAUAUCUAGCAGAAAAACAGACAACACGCUGGUUGAAAUAAAUUCUCCAAAACACCCAAAGUGAACAAUAUAUAUAGGAUGGUUGUAAUAUCUUUAUAAAUAAACUCAUCAUAGAUACCAGCACUAAAUUUUGUAUAUACACCAGACGCGCGUUUCGUCUACAAAAGAC